rnacentral:lncRNA from 1 species
GGAUGUUAUUUUAGUGUUUCUUUUAUUUUUUUGAGCAGUGUAUAUAUUAAUAUAUAUAUAUAUAUAUAUAUAUAUAACUACUCCAUAUCAAAAAUGACAUUGCACUCUGACAUUCUAUCUUUCUCCAUCCUCCCUUCUCACUCUCAGGGUCCUCAGGGUUACCCAGGUCGGUCGGGCUACAGAGGACUCCCAGGACCACAGGGCCCAUUAGGGUUCCCUGGCCUUCCUGGACCAAAGGGCACCAUGACCAAAGUGUUGAAGGGGGUCAAAGGAGAAGCGGUAUGUGACUGCAGGGACAAUUGUAUGUUUCAAAUAGUUUUAUACUGCCCAGCACUUAAUGUGUUUGACUUCAAAAAAUAA